GCUCAGAACUCAAAGGAAUUGACGGGGCCGCACAAGCGGAGGAGCAUGUGGUUAAUUCGAUGAUACGCGAGGAACCUUACCUGGGCUCGAACGUAAGAUGACUGUAGGUGAAAGCUUACAUCUCUUCGGAGCAUUUUACGAGGUGCUGCAUGGUUGUCGUCAGCUCGUGCCGUGAGGUGUCGGGUUAAGUCCCAUAACGAGCGCAACCCCUACCUUUAGUUGCCAUCAGGUUAAGCUGGGGACUCUAAAGGAACUGCCUACGCAAGUAGUGAGGAAGGCGGGGAUGACGUCAAAUCAGCACGGCCCUUACGUCCAGGGCUACACACGUGCUACAAUGGCCGAUACAGAGGGCAGCUACCUGGUGACAGGAUGCAAAUCUCCAAAGUCGGUCUCAGUUCGGAUCGGAGUCUGCAACCCGACUCCGUGAAGUUGGAUUCGCUAGUAAUCGCGCAUCAGCCAUGGCGCGGUGAAUACGUUCCCGGGCCUU
rnacentral:rRNA from 1 species